rnacentral:rRNA from 1 species
CACGGAGGGUGCGAGCGUUAAUCGGAAUUACUGGGCGUAAAGCGCGCGUAGGCGGUUUGAUAAGUCAGAUGUGAAAUCCCCGGGCUUAACCUGGGAAUGGCAUUUGAUACUGUCUGACUCGAGUGUGGUAGAGGGAAGUGGAAUUCCGCAUGUAGCGGUGAAAUGCGUAGAUAUGCGGAGGAACACCAGUGGCGAAAGCGGCUUCCUGGACCAACACUGACGCUGAGGUGCGAAAGCGUGGGGAGCAAACAGG